AGCUUCUACUUUCGAGUCUCGACUAACAUCUGGUUUUGGACCAUUGUUUUAGCUCCAGAAACAAGAUACAUAAUUGGAUUUACUACAGACUUUACAUCAAAUAAUCUCAGUUUUGAGAUUUUCUUCAAUCUCUUUUGUAUUCCAGGUACUAUAUAGAAGUAUAAUUUCAAUUCUAUUUUUAGUAAACUUUUGUUGAUUCUGAUAUGGAUUUAUAGAUUCUUGUUUGUUCUUUCUUUAUCAUAGAUUUUUAGUUUAAAAAAAGGGUAGCAUUAAAUUAAUUUUCAAGGAAUGAAAUCUUGAGACAUUGAUUUUACAUGCUAAAUAUGGUAAAUAUAUGAAAAAAUUCUGAAUGAAGUGUCACCGCUUUCUUUUCUUUGUUUCACUUUUUCUGUCAAUCUUUAGGAUCUUCUGCAUAUAUAUAUAUUUUUUUGGUUAAUUAUGUUAUUGAUUGUAAUUUUUCAUGAAAUAAUUUGCAGAAUGGUUAAAAGGGCAAUGCAACAAUGGCUACGUGUAAUAAUUACUUUGCUUAUUCUUUUAAUAACUGAAGGACACCCUGUUGAUAUUACUUAUCUUCAGAGUGCUGUUGCAAAAGGAGCUGGUAAGAAUUUUUUUGAAUCAAAGUGAUUAUCUUUUUAAUUUUUUGUCUAAAUAACUCUAAGCAGUGGCGGAUCCAAUAUGGAAGUCGCGGAUUUGGCAAGAACCCGCGACUUCUAACUCAACCUUAAGUGUAUAUAUAUGUGAAAAACAAGGGUAGAUAGAGUUGAAUAUACAUUUUAGUACUUAUAUUUGAAGCUAGAACCAGAGGCGAACUCAGGAUUUUUAUCCG
rnacentral:lncRNA from 1 species